CAGGGAGACAAUAAAUCGAUUGUGAUGUCUAAGUUAUUUAUUCUUAGGCCACAAUCCUGUCACCUUAAGGUCGAUCGGUACCUCAGAUUUUUGAAUUAGUUUUAUAAUUGAUUCUUUGAUUUCAGUUCCUAAACUUGUCUAGGUCACACCCAACAAAGGUUUCUCCUGGGCCAUUAGCUCAGGUGGUUAGAGCGCACCCCUGAUAAGGGUGAGGUCCCUGGUUCAAGUCCAGGAUGGCCCAUUCGUUGUUGGGGGUAUAGCUCAGUUGGUAGAGCGCCUGCUUUGCAAGCAGGAUGUCAGCGGUUCGAGUCCGCUUACCUCCACUGAAAACUAUCCUGAUAACUAAAUUCUGGAGAAAAAAUUGUAGAUUUGGCUUAGAUUUGUCUAUUUGAAGAGAACCUAGCUUCUUGUCAUCUUUUUAUAGUUGAUAAAAUGCUGGGCUCGCAUGGAUUAUUUCCAUGAGAAUUCAGUAGAACCUUGAAAACUGCAUAGAUUAGAAAGAAUAAAGCAUCUCAUGGAUGCAUAAUUCUGUUUUUAUAAUUUAGCCUUAAAACUAAAUUAUUUAAUUCUAGAAUUCAUGUUUAAUUCUUGAGUAAAAGCCGAGCACAAAUUAUUUUGUGAUUGUAUUUAA
rnacentral:tRNA from 1 species